rnacentral:tRNA from 1 species
GGAUUGUGGCUCAGUGGCAGAGUGCUUGCCUCGCAUAUAUGAGGCACUGGGUUCGAUCCUCAACACCA